GUGAGGAAUUUUCCGCAAUGGGCGAAAGCCUGUCGGAGCAAUGCCGCGUGAAGGAUGAAGGCCUAUGGGUUGUAAACUUCUUUUCUCAGAAAAGAAUUAUGACGGUAUCUGAGGAAUAAGCAUCGGCUAACUCUGUGCCAGCAGCCGCGGUAAGACAGAGGAUGCAAGCGUUAUCCGGAAUGAUUGGGCGUAAAGCGUCUGUAGGUUGUUUAAAAAGUAUUCUGUCAAAGAUUAGGGCUUAACCCUAGAUAGGCAGAAUAAACUUUUAAGCUAGAGUUUGGUAGAGGCAGAGGGAAUUCCCGGUGGAGCGGUGAAAUGCGUAGAUAUCGGGAGGAACACCAAAGGCGAAGGCACUCUGCUGGGCCAAUACUAACACUGAGAGACGAAAGCGAGGGGAGCAAAUGGGAUUAGAAACCCGGGUAGUCC
rnacentral:rRNA from 1 species